rnacentral:rRNA from 1 species
UACGUAGGUGGCAAGCGUUGUCCGGAUUUACUGGGCGUAAAGGGCGUGCAGGCGGCUUGUUAAGUGCAGGGUGAAAGCUCCCGGCUCAACUGGGAGAGGUUCUUGCAUACUGGCGAGCUCGAGGGAGGCAGAGGAAAGUGGAAUUCCCGGUGUAGUGGUGAUAUGCGUAGAUAUCGGGAGGAACACCUGUGGCGAAGGCGGCUUUCUGGCCUUACCUGACGCUGAGACGCGAAAGCGUGGGGAGCGAACCGG